ACGUGGCGUAUAUUUUUCGAGGUCAUUCAAAUUAGAGAUCAAAUUCAAUAAAAAAUCUUUAUUCAAGAUGGUUGCUUGUGUGAAGUUUUAAUAUUGAUUGAAUAGAAAGUCUAUUGAUCGAUAUAUAAAAGAGAUAACUUGAAGAUUUGUUUUCUUCUUUCUGCAGAAUCACAGAAAUAUCUUAACGAGAAAUUGAAUCAUUUUAAUUUGGUUAUCAGCAUAGUUAUAAUAUGUAGUACCAAUGAAUGCUUCAAGAUAAUUUCGAUGAGGAGAUAGGAUGAGAUACUGCACGAUAUCGUUGAUUUUUUCAUUUAGUUCUGCAUUCCUCUCGGUCGGCAGUUUCAGGCCAAACGCAAACAUGCAUAUUAGUGUCGUAGACCAGACCAUCUGGGCAUUGGUACUUUCGAGGAACUCCAAAAACGCAUCGGUAGUACUAAAAUCAACAAAUAUUCAUAAUAUAUAUAGCAGAUAAAAAAGAAAUAACAUAAUAUUAGAAUAUGAAGGACAAAGUAUAGGGACUGAAGUAUAAUUGCUUAGAAAGUAAUUAAAAUAAAGGGAGAAAGAAGAAAAUGGUCGAUUAAAAUGCAGGCGCCAUUUUGAAAAAUAAUUCCUCAUGAAAUUGAUAAAUGUAAGAGAUAAUGAAUACGUACCACGGUACAAUUUUUCGAAGGAAGAUAUUCUUCGCCUUCGCAAACAACUUUCUCG
rnacentral:lncRNA from 1 species